AUGGAAUGUGUCUAGUUUUUCAUAAGUAUGAUAGUGGAUUACAUACUAGUGGUUUUUAAAGUGGUUUUUUAAAUUGGGAAAACUUACUUUUUUGGUGCAAGUACUGUGUAACUAACCGCUUUAUAAUUGACAACUGUCGCGAGCGCUUUGCCUUGGCUAAUCAGUCUCUGUGAGGUCUCAAGAGGGCCUCGUGGACCUCAUUUCAUUGCUCAUUCUGCUCUUGGAAGGAGUGCAAUGUCCAUGUCUCUAACUGGGCAGAUAUAACUAUUGAGCCACCAGACCCCAAACAGGAGCCCUCAUGUAGGGUUACCGGCCUGACCUCCCCAGCGUGUCCACCCACCUCUCCUCACUCCAGGUGACCUUGGGAUUGGCCAUCACUGGACUAAGUGGGCUCCCCAGGAUUCACCUGUAUUUCACACUGAUCACGUGGCCUUGAACAAGUCACCCACUCUCUGGCCCGAGUUCGAUGACAUGAAGACCAUCAAGUCAGAGUGCUUCCUGGUGCCUCUGAGUGGAUGAGAUGGAGCCAAUAUGGAGACAACUCAGCAAAUGUUUCAUUAUCUGGAUUUAAAAGGAAGAUCAAACCCAUUUAUGUACAAUUCCUCUACAAGGACCCCUGCCAAGCAUCAUUCUUUCUACUGAGGUUUGCAACAGAGGCGCCCUGGCCGCCAGAUGUCAUAGGCAGGCAGACGCUGCUUUCCUGGGGUUUUCCUCCCAGCUUGGUAUUUUGGGUCCGUGUUUCCUUCGUCUUUCAGGGGUCCCUCUCCAGAUGCUCCCCAGCUUUGGGUGUGUCCUAUGCUUAUGCCUGCCAGAGGCUGAUGGUUCCCUACUGGGAAGUGAGCUCAGCCUCCCCAGCCUGUUGGUUUCCUGGAGGCUCUGACCUGAUAGAGUCUCUUUAUCAGGGCACUAAUCUUAUUCAUGAGCACUCCACCCUCAUGACCUAAUCACCUUCCUAAUACCAUCACCUUGGGGAUCAGGAUUUCAACAAAUGAAUUUUAGGAGGAC
rnacentral:lncRNA from 1 species